rnacentral:tRNA from 1 species
GCGGCCCUCGCCCAAUUGGUAGAGGCAUCUGGUUCAGAACCAGGAGGUUCGGGGUUCGAGUCCCCGGGGCCGCA